rnacentral:rRNA from 1 species
UGACGGAGCAACGCCGCGUGAGUGAUGAAGGUUUUCGGAUCGUAAAGCUCUGUUGUUAGGGAAGAACAAGUGCGAGAGUAACUGCUCGCACCUUGACGGUACCUAACCAGAAAGCCACGGCUAACUACGUGCCAGCAGCCGCGGUAAUACGUAGGUGGCAAGCGUUGUCCGGAAUUAUUGGGCGUAAAGGGCUCGCAGGCGGUUUCUUAAGUCUGAUGUGAAAGCCCCCGGCUCAACCGGGGAGGGUCAUUGGAAACUGGGAAACUUGAGUGCAGAAGAGGAGAGUGGAAUUCCACGUGUAGCGGUGAAAUGCGUAGAGAUGUGGAGGAACACCAGUGGCGAAGGCGACUCUCUGGUCUGUAACUGACGCUGAGGAGCGAAAGCGUGGGGAGCGAACAGGAUUAGAUACCCUGGUAGUCCACGCCGUAAACGAUGAGUGCUAAGUGUUAGGGGGUUUCCGCCCCUUAGUGCUGCAGCUAACGCAUUAAGCACUCCGCCUGGG